rnacentral:rRNA from 1 species
AACGGGUGAGUAACACGUGAGCAACCUACCCUUGACACUGGAAUAAGCGCUCGAAAGGGCGUCUAAUACCGGAUAUUACUUCUUCAGACAUCUGAUGAAGUGGAAAGCUCCGGCGGUCAAGGAUGGGCUCGCGGCCUAUCAGCUAGUUGGUGAGGUAACGGCUCACCAAGGCUUCGACGGGUAGCCGGCCUGAGAGGGCGACCGGCCACACUGGGACUGAGAUACGGCCCAGACUCCUACGGGAGGCAGCAGUGGGGAAUAUUGCACAAUGGGCGCAAGCCUGAUGCAGCAACGCCGCGUGCGGGAUGACGGCCUUCGGGUUGUAAACCGCUUUCAGCACCGACGAAGCGAAAGUGACGGUAGGUGCAGAAGAAGGACCGGCCAACUACGUGCCAGCAGCCGCGGUGAUACGUAGGGUCCGAGCGUUGUCCGGAAUUAUUGGGCGUAAAGAGCUCGUAGGCGGUUUGUCGCGUCGGAAGUGAAAACUCAGGGCUUAACUCUGAGCCUGCUUCCGAUACGGGCAGACUAGAGGAAGUUAGGGGAGAACGGAAUUCCUGGUGGAGCGGUGGAAUGCGCAGAUAUCAGGAGGAACACCGGUGGCGAAGGCGGUUCUCUGGGACUUUCCUGACGCUGAGGAGCGAAAGCGUGGGGAGCAAACAGGCUUAGAUACCCUGGUAGUCCACGCCGUAAACGGUGGGCACUAGGUGUGGGUCACAUUCCACGUGAUCCGUGCCGUAGCUAACGCAUUAAGUGCCCCGCCUGGGGAGUACGGCCGCAA